rnacentral:tRNA from 1 species
UUCUUUUUUAGUUUAAAAAAAAAUUCAAUUUUUGUAAAAUUGAGAUCAUUAAAGAAA